GGGGAUGACCGGUUUUGACAGCGUGUAGAAGCGGCAUGUAAGCAGGCAGAGGUAUGAUGUCUACCCUCUAUAAUCAUUCGGCAUCGAACUAUAAUUGGCGAAAAUAACAAUUACGCUCUCGCUGCUUGAUUUGAAGCAUAGUAGAAUCGCUUAAUUUCCGCCCAAGGUUGGCGGAAACGAGACAUCACUCCAUUGCCCCGUUCCGAGACGUUUGGAUAAAGUGGUGCUGAGAAAUUCGGAAAUAGGACGUGUGAGGCCUUGACGCACGCCCGAAAUCUAAAGGAUAAGGACAAUGUUGGUAGUCGUGAGCCUGCAUUGUCUCGAAAACCAAAUCAAUGACUAAGCCUGUAGAAAGCUUGUUGAUUCCGCGUUUGGACGAGGGUUCGAAUCCCUCCAUCUCCACUA
rnacentral:tmRNA from 1 species